rnacentral:rRNA from 1 species
AAGUCGAACGAGAUUUUCUUUGGUGGUAACACCUUUGAACGUCUAGUGGCGAACGGGUGAGUAACACGUGAGGAACCUGCCCUGAAGACGGGGAUAACAGAAGGAAACUUCUGCUAAUACCCGAUACCCCCUCCGGAUCGCAUGGUCUGGAGAGGAAAUGGAUUCCGCUUCAGGAGGGUCUCGCGGCCUAUCAGCUUGUUGGUGGGGUAAUGGCCUACCAAGGCUUGGACGGGUAGCUGGUCUGAGAGGACGAUCAGCCACACUGGGACUGAGACACGGCCCAGACUCCUACGGGAGGCAGCAGUAAGGAAUAUUGCGCAAUGGGCGAAAGCCUGACGCAGCAACGCCGCGUGCGGGAUGAAGGCCCUCGGGUUGUAAACCGCUUUCAGUAGGGAAGAAAAUGACGGUACCUACAGAAGAAGCCCCGGCCAACUACGUGCCAGCAGCCGCGGUAACACGUAGGGGGCGAGCGUUGUCCGGAUUUAUUGGGCGUAAAGAGCUCGUAGGCGGUUUCGUAAGUCGGAUGUGAAAACUCCAGGCUCAACUUGGAGACGCCAUUCGAUACUGCGAUGACUUGAGUCCGGUAGGGGAGUGUGGAAUUCCUGGUGUAGCGGUGAAAUGCGCAGAUAUCAGGAGGAACACCGGCGGCGAAGGCGGCACUCUGGGCCGGUACUGACGCUGAGGAGCGAAAGCGUGGGUAGCAAACAGGAUUAGAUACCCUGGUAGUCCACGCCGUAAACGGUGGGCACUAGGUGUGGGAUUCACUCAACGGGAUUCCGUGCCGCAGCUAACGCAUU